UUUGGUGAUGUGCAGCCAUUUAAUCUCUUCAAAGUCAGUGUAAUGCAUUCAUCUGGCAACUUCUCAAGACAAGUCUCUCCGUGUCACGCACAAUCUGUUCGGUGGCUCCUUCUCUGUCCUGCACAACCGCCUCUAUCUGCUCUGAACACCUAGAGAGAAAGUCUGGAAUACCAUAGUAAACACAAUUCUGAAACUUCAUGUUACAACUUGAAGUCUUAUAAAGAUUAUUCCUCUACAAGCCAGGCGGAAUAUACAUAAUUUGGGAAUUAAAGGUAUUUAAAGCUUGCUAUGGCAUCCUUGCCCCAGUAAUAUAAAGGUGAAAUAAGUUAUGCUUGUUUAAUUAUUUAGUACUUUUAAGUUUCAGCCACUUUUCUAUGCUAUUGCCAGAGUGAUCAGUCUUAAAUGCAACAAGCUUGGGGUUUUGUUUUGUUUUGUUUUGUUCUGUUUUGUUUUGUUUUGUUUUGUUUUGUUUUGUGUUGAGACGUGAUCUUGCUGGACUGCCCUAGCUGGCCUUGAACUCCUCGGCUCAAAGUGAUCCUGUUUGCUGUACCCUCUGCAGUACCUGGGACUAUAGGUAUGUACCACCACACCUGUCUUGUAUGUAUUAGCAAUUUCUUUGUCCUGUGUUACUGGGGAUUGAACUCAG
rnacentral:lncRNA from 1 species